rnacentral:rRNA from 1 species
ACUCAAUAGAUACCCCGGUAGUCCACGCCCUAAACGAUGUCUACUAGUUGUCGGGUCUUAAUUGACUUGGUAAACGCAGCUAAACGCGUGAAGUAGACCGCCUGGGGAGUACGGUCGCAAGAUUAAAACUCAAAGGAAUUGACGGGGACCCGCACAAGCGGUGGAUGAUGUGGAUUAAUUCGAUGCAACGCGAAAAACCUUACCUACCCUUGACAUGGAAGGAAUCCCUGAGAGAUCGGGGAGUGCUCGAAAGAGAACCUUUACACAGGUGCUGCAUGGCUGUCGUCAGCUCGUGUCGUGAGAUGUUGGGUUAAGUCCCGCAACGAGCGCAACCCUUGUCAUUAGUUGCUACGAAAGGGCACUCUAAUGAGACUGCCGGUGACAAACCGGAGGAAGGUGGGGAUGACGUCAAGUCCUCAUGGCCCUUAUGGGUAGGCUUCACACGUCAUACAAUGGUACAUACAGAGGGCCGCCAACCCGCGAGGGGGAGCUAAUCCCAGAAAGUGUAUCGUAGUCCGGAUUGUAGUCUGCAACUCG